AGAGAUCAAAGUUGAAGCUAUGGACGAUAACGUUGUCUUUGGGCUCAGCUUGUUGGUGUCUUAACUAUGGUGUACUCGGUCAAAAGAGUAAUGUGUAUAUAGGGACAACUUUGUAUUUUUCUUUAUUUUCCAUUAUUUUAUAAAUCUAAUAAGUUAUCACUACCAAAAAGAAAAAAAUAACCGUUCCUAAAGACAGUCUAUACGUACAUGAAACUUAAUAAGUCACUUUGAAUAUCUUUAAAAAAAAAAAAAAAACUAAAUAAGUCACUGAGAAAACAUGGUUAAAAUUAUCUUAUUGUUUUAAUUUGUGCCAUCUUAUACUUUUUUUCGUUAGCGAUGGGGAAGCUUUGUAUAAUUUUUUUUUUUUGUUUCAUGGGUUAGUUAAUAGAAAAAUUAAUAAACUGAUUUAUUGGUUUAUAGUUUAUUUAUACUAGUGUCGAUGUCUAUCUCCGAUUAUGUCCGUCUUGAGUUGACCCUCC
rnacentral:lncRNA from 1 species